UGGGGAAUCUUGCACAAUGGGGGCAACCCUGAUGCAGCGACGCCGCGUGAGCGAUGAAGCCCUUCGGGACGUAAAGCUCUUUCGACCGGAACGAUAAUGACGGUACCGGGAGAAGAAGCUGCGGCUAACUACGUGCCAGCAGCCGCGGUAAUACGUAGGCAGCAAGCGUUGUUCGGAGUUACUGGGCGGAAAGAGUGCGUAGGCGGUUUUCUAAGUUCGGUGUGAAAUCUCCCGGCUUAACUGGGAGGGUGCGCCGAAGACUGGGAAGCUGGAGUGUGGGAAAGGCAGGCGGAAUUCCUGGUGUAGCGGUGAAAUGCGUAGAUAUCAGGAGGAACACCGGCGGUGUAGACGGCUUGCUAGACCAUAACUGACGCUGAGGCACGAAAGCGUGGGUAGCAAACA
rnacentral:rRNA from 1 species